ensembl:lncRNA
CCCCCUGGCAACACUUUGCUAGACCCGCCCCUGCACAGUUACCAGCUGUCAGCUACUUAGAAAAGGAUCCUGGUGUUAUUUGUCUCUCAGAAACAGUUCAUAACUUCAACUCAUCCAUGUCACCUAAAAGGUAAACCUGUUUCUCCAUCACAGCUCUGAUGAUUCAGUAAGGACAUCUCCUGGUUUCAUCUUCAUGUUUCCCUCUCACCACAUAUCCAAACCGACAUCAUGACCAGCAGCUUUACAGCUGUGGCUCCAGCAAACAUCAGCUGAUACUAGAAAUUAAUAUUAAAUAAAUUCUAACAACAGCUGAUCAAGCUUAAACGUGCUGCUGUUGUUUAACGCGACAUCUGCUGGUUUCCUCUUUCUGGCGCAAAGUGGGCGAUAAAUAAACAAGAGAGAAAAGCCGAUCAGCUGAUCACUGAUCAGUUUCAUGAUUGAAGCAGCAACAGGAGAGGGAGGGGGGAGAAUGAGAGGAGAAGAGGCAGCUGUGCAGCAAAGACACAGAAUAAUUCCAGCUUUGUGUCUUUUUUUCAUUAUAGCGAAAGUCCGGGACAAACUGCAUCCCUACUCACCUCAAUACGAAACGCGUAAUAUUUUCUCUGAAUACCAGACGAUUCUGUUUUUACAGGACGGUUGGAAGCUCUACUAACUAACCUUAUGAACAAAAUAAUGUUCAACAUCAGUAACAUCAUAGCACCCACCCAGCUGUAUAGAAACUCUGUCAUGCUAGCUAGUAGCAGUACGAAAAAGUCAGCAUAAUGAAAAUAAACUCCACCUAAACUUGGUUUAUAUCUGAACCUGAUAGACUGCAGGUCAUAACUUCUUACCUGAAGUUCACCUGACACUUGGACCGGUGUUCUGAGAAAUCAUCCUACUCUGACAAAACGUCCUACCCGUAUUAUAUGUAGCCCUGUCUGCAAUUAUUCGGGCUUGCAGUAUAAAGAAAAAAAAGUCUACUGUUAUAAAAACUGGUUAAAAUAUAAAUAGUUGAUAAAAGGUUUAAAAAUCAUAUGUUUUGGUACAAAUGUAUUUCAAUUACAGUUAAGAGUCCAAUAAUUAAAAGGGUUUCAUGAUUUAGAGUUAUUUUCUGUGCACAAUAAAUAUGUUGGGGUGUAACCUAAGUUUAUUUACCCAUCUAAUGUCAGUUAUAUUAAUGUUGUAUUGUCAUUGGUUGUUGUGCUGACGAGCCAGUCAAUGUCACUCUUCUCUGCUAUGGGGGCGGGACGAGUGGUAAAGUUUGUGAAUCAGAAGCUAAGUCCGAAGAGAGAGAUGUCGUAAGGCAAACGUGGUGUGGAUUUUGCAUCUAAGUGUAUCAUUGAGGUCGACUACCCGUGGUCCUGAUAUUACUUAUUUGUGAUCUGCAAGAGAAGCCGAGGGACGCUCUGAAAGGAGAGAGAGGUUUCUGCCCGGAUGGACCCUGCUGUUUCCUCGCCCCUGACUGUUUUCUCGCCCCUGACUGUCUUCACUACUGGUGAACUAACUGCUAACUGCCCGUUUCUGAUUGCCCCACUAACAAACUCAUUGGACUCGUGAGUACUAACUGGAACUAAAGUGCACGUAUUUUGUUUAUGGCUCAGUUUGAGUGAAGCGGCCAUCAGUUUUAGGCCUCACCGCACCCGAACUUCGAAUCAGGCCUGCAACAAGCACCGUGCUACAGGUGUAGUGUGGACAGGUUAAAGUGUGUGUGUGUGUGUGUGUG